AAUAAGAAUAUACAUCCACAUAAAACUAUCUAUUUUUACAUGGCUUCAGCGUGGAAUAUUGGAAAUAACGCUUUAUGCAUUUUCUCUUGGGUUUACGAUACCGAUUCUCUGACAACAAAGAUAAAGCUAGCCCUCCUGUCACCAGAAUGUGGGUCACCUUGAUACAUAUAAGGCUUUGUGAAUAAUGACGGAAGAUGGAAUACCUCCAAUUCUGUGACCGCAAGUGGGCUGUGUCGAGACGUAUUAUCAAUACAACUCUGGCUUUCAAUUUUCUUAUAUGGCUUGAAUUCCAAGGGUGGACUAAAACGUGAGCGAAGCCGCGGCUAACAACAAGAUUAUUUAAAAAAGUUUGAAGCUUAGUUUGAAACUUACUCGUCUUAUCGUAUGGUGCACA